rnacentral:rRNA from 1 species
ACUCAAAGGAAUUGACGGGGGCCCGCACAAGCAGCGGAGCGUGUGGUUUAAUUCGAGGCUACACGAAGAACCUUACCUGGGUUGGAUAUGACGGUGGUAGUGAAGCGAAAGCGGAGCGACGCGCAAGCGAGCCGUGACUGGUGCUGCAUGGUUGUCGUCAGCUCGUGCCGUGAGGUGUUCGGUUAAGUCCGAAAACGAGCGCAACCCCUGGCGUUAGUUACACGUGUCUAGCGCGACUGCCCGUGAGAAACGGGAGGAAGGUGGGGAUGACGUCAAAUCAGCAUGGCCUGUAUAUCCAGGGCGACACACACGCUACAAUGGACGGUACAAUAGGUUGCGAGAGUGCAAACUGGAGCCAAUCGUGAAAGCCGUUCUCAGUUCGGAUUGCAGGCUGCAACCCGCCUGCAUGAAGUUGGAGUUGCUAGUAACCGCGCGUCAGCCAUAGUGCGGUGAAUACGUUCCCGGGCCUUGCACACACCGCCCGU